GACGAACGCUGGCGGCGUGCUUAACACAUGCAAGUCGAACGGAAAGGCCUGCUUUCCCUUGUGGAUUGCGGGUACUCGAGUGGCGAACGGGUGAGUAACACGUGAGUGAUCUGCCCCCAACUUGGGUAUAAGCCUGGGAAACUGGGUCUAAUUCCCGAUAGGACUGCAGGGUGGUGCCUGUGGUGGAAAACGAUUUUCUAGUGGUUGGGGAUGAGCUCGCGGCCUAUCAGCUUGUUGGUGGGGUAAUGGCCUACCAAGGCGGCGACGGGUAGCCGGCCUGAGAGGGUGGACGGCCACAUUGGGACUGGGAUACGGCCCAGACUCCUACGGGAGGCAGCAGUGGGGAAUAUUGCACAAUGGGCGGAAGCCUGAUGCAGCGACGCAGCGUGGGGGAUGACGGCCUUCGGGUUGUAAACUCCUUUCGACCGCGAGGAAGCCACCUGGUUGGAAGGGUGGUGACGGUAGUGGUAGAAGAAGCACCGGCUAACUACGUG
rnacentral:rRNA from 1 species